AUCUGCAGCUAUACAACCUGCUGCUGUGAUCUUGUCAGAUUUCACAAGCUAAGCAGGGUCAGGCUAGGGGAGAACUUUGAUGAAGCAAGCAGAUGCAGGCC
ensembl:rRNA 5S_rRNA 5S ribosomal RNA